UACGUAGGGUGCAAGCGUUGUCCGGAAUUAUUGGGCGUAAAGAGCUUGUAGGCGGUCUGUCGCGUCUGCUGUGAAAAUCCGGGGCUCAACCCCGGACUUGCAGUGGGUACGGGCAGACUAGAGUGUGGUAGGGGAGACUGGAAUUCCUGGUGUAGCGGUGAAAUGCGUAGAUAUCAGGAGGAACACCGGUGGCGAAGGCGCUCAUCUGGCCCAAUACUGACGCUGAAGCUCGAAAGCUAGGGGAGCAAACGGG
rnacentral:rRNA from 1 species